rnacentral:tRNA from 1 species
GAGAGUAUAGUUUAUCGGUAAAACAAUUGUCUUUUAAACAGUAAUAGUAUGUUCAAUUCAUACUACUCUCA